UACAGAGGUCUCAAGCGUUGUUCGGAUUCAUUGGGCGUAAAGGGUGCGUAGGUGGCUCGUUAAGUCAGGUGUGAAAUUUCGGAGCUUAACUCCGAAACUGCAUUUGAUACUGGCGUGCUUGAGGACUGGAGAGGAGACUGGAAUUCAUGGUGUAGCAGUGAAAUGCGUAGAGAUCAUGAGGAAGACCAGUGGCGAAGGCGGGUCUCUGGACAGUACCUGACACUGAGGCACGAAGGCCAGGGGAGCAAACGGG
rnacentral:rRNA from 1 species